AUUAGCUGGUUGGCGGGGUAACGGCCCACCAAGGCGACGAUGCGUAGGGGUUCUGAGAGGAAGGUCCCCCACACUGGUACUGAGACACGGACCAGACUCCUACGGGAGGCAGCAGUGAGGAAUAUUGGUCAAUGGGCGCGAGCCUGAACCAGCCAAGUCGCGUGAGGGAAGACGGUCCUAUGGAUUGUAAACCUCUUUUGUCGGGGAGCAAAAGACGCCACGCGUGGCGUUCCGAGAGUACCCGAAGAAAAAGCAUCGGCUAACUCCGUGCCAGCAGCCGCGGUAAUACGGAGGAUGCGAGCGUUAUCCGGAUUUAUUGGGUUUAAAGGGUGCGCAGGCGGAAGAUCAAGUCAGCGGUAAAAUUGAGAGGCUCAACCUCUUCGAGCCGUUGAAACUGGUUUUCUUGAGUGAGCGAGAAGUAUGCGGAAUGCGUGGUGUAGCGGUGAAAUGCAUAGAUAUCACGCAGAACUCCGAUUGCGAAGGCAGCAUACCGGCGCUCAACUGACGCUCAUGCACGAAAGUGUGGGUAUCGAACAGGAUUAGAUACCCUGGUAGUCCACACAGUAAACGAUGAAUACUAAUUGUUCGGGGAGAAUGAUCCCUGA
rnacentral:rRNA from 1 species